rnacentral:rRNA from 1 species
GAUCAUGGCUCGGGAUGAACGCUGGCGGCGUGCCUAACACAUGCAAGUCGAGCGAAGCACUUUGCUUAGAUUCUUCGGAUGAAGAGGAUUGUGACUGAGCGGCGGACGGGUGAGUAACGCGUGGGUAACCUGCCUCAUACAGGGGGGAUAACAGUUAGAAAUGACUGCUAAUACCGCAUAAGACCACAGCACCGCAUGGUGCGGGGGUAAAAACUCCGGUGGUAUGGGAUGGACCCGCG